rnacentral:tRNA from 1 species
GCUCCCAUGGCAUAGUGUCACCUGUGCUCGCGUUGCACGCGGGAGACCCGGGUUCGAUUCCCGGCGGGGUCA